UCCAGACUCCUACGGGAGGCAGCAGUGGGGAAUAUUGCACAAUGGGGGGAACCCUGAUGCAGCGACGCCGCGUGAGUGAAGAAGUAUUUCGGUAUGUAAAGCUCUAUCAGCAGGGAAGAAGAUGACGGUACCUGACUAAGAAGCCCCGGCUAACUACGUGCCAGCAGCCGCGGUAAUACGUAGGGGGCAAGCGUUAUCCGGAUUUACUGGGUGUAAAGGGAGCGUAGACGGCAGGGCAAGUCUGGAGUGAAAGCCCGGGGCCCAACCCCGGGACUGCUUUGGAAACUGCCAUGCUGGAGUGCUGGAGAGGUAAGCGGAAUUCCUAGUGUAGCGGUGAAAUGCGUAGAUAUUAGGAGGAACACCAGUGGCGAAGGCGGCUUACUGGACAGUAACUGACGUUGAGGCUCGAAAGCGUGGGGAGCAAACAGGAUUAGAUACCCCUGUA
rnacentral:rRNA from 1 species